GACGAAUGCUGGCGGCGUGCCUAAUACAUGCAAGUAGGACGCAGUUGCGAACGGGGGAGUAACGCGUAGGUAACUACUUAUUAGAGGGGGAUAACUAUUGGAAACGAUAACUAAUACCGCAUAUUAGUAACUGGACCUGCGUUGUAUUAGCUAGUAGGUAGGGUAAAGGCCUACCUAGGCAACGACAGAUAGCUGACCUGAGAGGGGGAGGGGCCACACUGGGACUGUGACAAGGCCCAGACUCCUACGGGAGGCAGCAGUAGUGGAUCUGCGGCAAUGGGGGGAACCCUGACCGAGCAACGCCGGGGAAGUUAAGAAGGUGUUCGGAUCGUAAGGCUCGGUUGUUAAGGAAGCGGUACGUAGCCAGAAAGGGACGGCUAACUACGUGCCAGCAGCCGCGGUAAUUC
rnacentral:rRNA from 1 species